rnacentral:lncRNA from 1 species
CAAACUGCCGCGGUGGCGGGAGCUAAGCUCGCUUGGCUGGAGGCGGGUCAUCCUUCUUCUCGCAGCUCCCGCAACCCGGUGGCUCCCUGGACCCACCACCUUCAGUGCGCUCAGUUGCUGGGACUCAAGGCUUAUGCCAGUGCAGCUGCAGCUGGUGGUGGCAGUGGCUAGAAACCUUCUCUCCUCCUCUCCCCAAGGCGGCGCCCGGGCCACCCGGGCCGAAGCGCGGAUGGAUCGCGAGUGAACCGAGCCGCCCAGACCGACGCCACGGACAAGAACCUACUGGAGGCCAAGCGGGUUCCGGCCGGCUAGAGGAGAGUGUGAUCCGGAGGAACAAACUGGAACAAACUUGGCUCCCGCAGAUGCUACUCAGAGAGGACCCAGAAACAAGUCGCUCCAUUUCAUACUGAACCCAUUUCAGCCUCUUGAGUCUGGAAGGGACAGGCUAAGGAACUGGACAGACGGCUGACUGUUGCCUCAACAGCGCCGCACAGUGGCCAAGGCUCCAGCAUAGGAGGUCUCAGUACCUGCUGUGUCCCAUAGUCCCAAACCUCUGUCACCCUUUGUUAGGUAACUUCCUUUCAGAGCCCUACUUUCCUGGUAGGCGCGAUUAAGAGCAGGGCCAGAGGACUUAAACUGCUGGGAUCCAAACUUUGGUUUCACCAGUUACCAGCUGUCUCACCUGGCUAAUUUUAACCUUUUUGCCUGUCUCUUCCUCUAAAAUAAAAUUUAAAACACCUACCUCAAGGCUGACAUGAUUGUAAGCCCUUCCAUAAGUAAGUAACUUCAGCAUUCAGAAUGCUGCGGCAAGAGGUUUGCUUCAAGUUCCAGGCCAGUCUGAGCUACAGAUGAAACUCUGAC